rnacentral:rRNA from 1 species
UGAGUAACCUGCCCUUCACUCUGGGAUAACUCCGGGGAAACCGGGGCUAAUACUGGAUAUGACUCGAACAGGCAUCUGUUUCGGGUGGAAAGAUUUUAUUGGUGGAGGAUGGACUCGCGGCCUAUCAGCUUGUUGGUGAGGUAAUGGCUCACCAAGGCGACGGACGGGUAGCCGGCCUGAGAGGGCGAUCGGCCACAGUUGGAACUGAGACACGGUCCAGACUCCGUACGGGAGCAGC